rnacentral:rRNA from 1 species
UCAAUUUAAUUUGAAUUGAAAUAUUUAUUAUUAUUUAAUUUUUAUAGGUUAAUUUUAAUUAAAUUAUUAUUUUUUUUUUAUAGUUAUAGAUAAAAUUUUUAUUAUUAUAGUUGAUUAAGUAUAGUGAUAGAAUAUUAAAAUAGUUUGAAAUAUUUAAAAUAUUUAAAAGAAAAUUUUAAUUAUUGUACCUUGUGUAUCAGGGUUUAUUAAAUAAAAAUUAUAAAUUUAAUUUUCUCGAAUUUAAAAGAGCUAAAAAAUUAAAUAUUUUAUUGUGAAAAAACUAUUUAUAAUAAUUUUUUAGUAAUGAAAUGUUAGUCGUUUUUAAAUUUAUCUAGUUUUUUAAGAAAUAAAUUUAAUUUAGUUAAUUAUUAAAAUUGAAAUUUAAAUAAUUUUUAUAUUUAAAUUUAAAUAAUUAAUUAAUAUUUUAAGGGAUAAGCUUUAAAAUAUAAGUUAAUAAAUAUUUAUAGUAAUUAUAAAAUUUAUAGAAGUGAAAGUAUUAAUUUAUUUUAGUGUUUUAUAACAAGUUUUAUUUUAUUUUAUGAUUUAUAUAUAAUUUUUAAUUUUUUAUUAAAAUGAUUAAUUUAAUUGUAUAAUUAAUGUAUUAAUGAUAAAAUUAGUAUAAAUUAAUGUUUUUUAAAAUUAAUUUAAUAUAGGUUAGAUUAAGGAAUUCGGCAAAUUUAUUUUUCGCCUGUUUAUUAAAAACAUGUCUUUUUGAUUAUAAUUUAAAGUCUGACCUGCCCUAUGAUUAAAAUUAAAUGGCCGCGAUAUUUUGAUCGUGCAAAGGUAGCAUAAUCAUUAGUUUCUUAAUUAGGAACUGGAAUGAAAGGUUGAACGAGAAAAUAACUGUCUCAAUUUAAUUUAAUUAGAAUUUUAUUUUUAAGUUAAAAAGCUUAAAUAAUUUUAAAAGACGAGAAGACCCUAUAGAGUUUAAUAUUAAAAUUUUUAAAUUAAAAUUUAGAAUUUAAUUUAUUUAAUUUAUUUUUAGUAUUUGGUUGGGGUGAUUUAAAAAUUUAUAUAACUUUUUUUUUUUUAUUACAUUAAUUUAUGAUUAUAUGAUCCAUUAAUAAUGAUUAUUAGAUAAAAUUACCUUAGGGAUAACAGCGUAAUUUUUUUUGAGAGUUCUUAUCGAAAAAAAAGGUUGCGACCUCGAUGUUGGAUUAAAAUUAACUUAUGGUGUAGGUGUUAUUAAGUUAGGUCUGUUCGACCUUUAAAAUUUUACAUGAUCUGAGUUUAAACCGGUGUAAGCCAGGUUGGUUUCUAUCUUUAAAAUAGUUUAAAUAUUUUAGUACGAAAGGAUUAAAUAUUUUUAAUAAUUAAUUUUAAGUAGAUUGUUAUUAAUUUAUUACUUUGGCAGAAUAGUGUGU